UUUAUUUUUACCAGGCAAGUCAGUUUUUACCUUGUCAGCUCUGGGAUUCGAUCCAGCAACCUUUCGGUUACUGGCCCAACGCUCUAACCACAAGGCUACCUAACCUAACAAAAUGUGGCAAAAGUCGAAGGGUCUGAAGACUUUCCAAAUGCGCCGUAUAGUAGAUUACAUUUUAGUCAUAAUGUGUUCUAGUACUCCUGCAAUGCCUGCUGGUAAACUGUCAUCCUUUUGCCCCUAGUCUGUUGGUGUCCACAUACUCAGUGCCUUCCACAGUGAUGCACCUGUACUACUUCCCUAUCCUGCUGGGAACCUGUGAGGAUGGAAAUAUCAUCAGUGUCCUCAUUGACCCUGAUGCUGAUAGAGAAAUGAUCAAUUGGAAGGAUGACACGUGAAUUCUUGGAAUGGUGGCCAACGAUGAAAAAAGCAGUUGGUUGGUAGACGAGAAGAAAGGACAGGUUGUGCUUGGCGUCUUGUAUGUCAUGGGCCAGGGCUCCCGAGUGGCGCAGUGGUCUAAGGCACUGCAUC